rnacentral:rRNA from 1 species
UACGAAGGGGGCUAGCGUUGUUCGGAAUCACUGGGCGUAAAGCGCUCGUAGGCGGAUCUUUAAGUCAGAGGUGAAAUCCCAAGGCUCAACCUUGGAACUGCCUUUGAUACUGGGGAUCUCGAGUCCGGGAGAGGUGAGUGGAACUGCGAGUGUAGAGGUGAAAUUCGUAGAUAUUCGCAAAAACACCAGUGGCGAAGGCGGCUCACUGGCCCGGUACUGACGCUGAGGAGCGAAAGCGUGGGGAGCAAACAGG